rnacentral:lncRNA from 1 species
ACCCAUCCAUUAAUGGCUCAUGUGUUCUUAAGACAAACCCAGCAGGCUGUAUCUGUCUAGACCAACCUGGUCUGAUAGAGGCACACGAAGCUAAUUUCAUGGGUGGACUUCGCAGACGUGAAGGUUAGAGAAAAUUACCUCAGCGCCUGCAUACACCACAACCUUGGCGUUCCAACAGUCUUGCACAGAGCCUGGUGAAACCAGAGCUUCUGCCUGCAUGGAACAAGAGCAAGAGAAAGGCCUAGGAGACUGACCUGCUUAUCCAUGCUACUUAUCAGGAACUGUGGAACCCUGGAGAACAUGACCCUGGCCCCCCCUUCAGGAUCUGGCUGAGAUCUGGCUGCCUCUUGAGACACUAGAGCCCUGGAUUCAAUUGCGGAACAUUAUGUUGGAGAAUAUGAACACUUCUAGACUGUGCCGACAUUUGGGAAGGAAUAGUCUGUUUUGACUUGAAUGAACAAAGACAUACGUCUCUGGGCCUGGGGAAGGCUUACCAGCUCAGCUCAUCUACUGUCUGGUGGCAAACAUGUCCCCUGCUGCCCCUACCCAGGACACUCUUCCUCACUCUGUCCCUGUCCAGUUACCGCACCCUUCCCUGUCUGACCCCACCUCAUGUGCCCACUCACCUCUGGACCCAGAGAUUCUUCUUGUUUGCUCUAUCAUCCUUGAGCCGGAUACAGGGUGAAUAGUUAACCACAUUUGGGUUGAAUGGGAUCUUGAUUCUUAUUUCUGUUCCUUGGAAAGAGGGGUCAGUCUCGGUGCGUGGCACCCGGCCUGGAAGCAGCACAAGACUCCAGAGUGAUACAUGAUCUGCCUGGAUGGUCCCGUGGGCUCUUUGGAGGUCAGAGCAAGAGGAGCAGCCUGAGCAGGGGGGCUGAGGA